AUACUCUGGUUUCUCUUCAGAACAAAAAAAUCUUUCACCUUUUACUAAAGAUUUCUAUGGAAAAGGACAGUUAUGAGUUGGUAAAGUGC
rnacentral:snRNA from 1 species